GGCUCCAUGGCAUAGCUAUCUGGGGUAGCAUGGCUUUAACAGUCAGCAGAAAGGCACAAACCAGCCUUUCUGCAGGGUAAAAGAACAGGGGCCAUAGUCUAAAGGGAGCAGGCGAGCAACCAGGCUUCUCCAGUGCACAGUGGCGAGGUUGGUUCCGCCACAUUUCUCCCCUUUACCAUCCAGACUAACAGGGUAUCUGACCUCCUGUCGGUCAGUGCCCUGGUUAGUCCAGCAACCCACCCACAGAACACAAUCAGCAGUACAGCCCACCCACAAUAAAG